GACGUAGGGGGCGAGCGUUGUCCGGAUUUAUUGGGCGUAAAGAGCUCGUAGGCGGCUCAGUAAGUCGGAUGUGAAAACUCCAGGCUCAACCUGGAGACGCCAUUCGAUACUGCUGUGGCUAGAGUCCAGUAGGGGAGUGUGGAAUUCCCGGUGUAGCGGUGAAAUGCGCAGAUAUCGGGAGGAACACCUAUGGCGAAGGCAGCUCGCUGGGACGUUACUGACGCUGAGACGCGAAAGCGUGGGGAGCAAACAGG
rnacentral:rRNA from 1 species